AUUAAGUUCAUCGGCAUUUUAUCCCUCUUUAUUUUGGUUGGUUUUUUUUUCUAUUUUUCCACUGUGCUUAGUUUGUUUAAACUAUUAUUUUGAGACUGUGAAUUUGUUGCUUUGAGUUCGCUGUUUUGGAUGCAUCAACCUCACUAGAUUCAGUUCUGGUAUAUCGGCGCUACCUUCCUUGUGGUAGUCGUGGUUUCAGACUGAUAUAUUGUUGUUACCAUUCAUGUGGUGAUGUACAAAGAUCCUUCGUGAAUGAGUGAAUUGAAGAUAAUUCAUUUUUUCUUCCUAUUGUGCUUGUAGCUCAUAUGGUUGCUUGUUUUGAAUGGUUUUCCUGCACAUAUAAUUGGCGUUGUUCUCGUUGUAUGCUUGAGAAGGCCACCAUAAUUUACUGUUUUAAUAGAAAUCCAAGUCUGAGAUUUUGGAAUUUUAUCGAUGACAGAUGAUUUUUAUUCAGUUAAAUUAAAAGUUCAUAAAAAAUUGAUUUGGGAUCUUGGAAUUUCUAUUGUUGCUGAAGAUUGCUUAAAGUUUAAAAAAGGGUUUUGGAUUUAGGGUCAAAUUAAUCUGGAUGAUUCACUUUACUACUGUAUGCAAUUUGUUUGUUUUUUUAGUUAUUUGUAUUAAUUAAUUGAUGAAUUAGGAGUUAAUUAGAUGAAUAAACUAUCGGUAAAAAUAUUUCUUAUUACUUAAUUUUGUGGUACUAAGAAGAUCGAUAUCUAUCCUUUGUUCACUCCAUACAAGCAAAUAAUCAUUUUUGAUUUACACCGUCAAUUUCAACCUAAAACGAUUUCGAAUCAAAUCAAGUUACUUUUCACUUUCAUAAAAAGUAUUGGUUCAAAGCGGAGUAUUUCCUAUCUAAACUUGGUU
rnacentral:lncRNA from 1 species